GAUUAACGCUAGCGGCAGGCAUAAUACAUGUAAGUUGAACGGCAGCACAGGUAGCAAUACUGGGUGGCGAGUGGCGCACGGGUGCGUAACACGUAUGCAACCUACCCUAUACAGGCGAAUAACCUUUAGAAAUGAGGGCUAAUACGCCGUAGUAUUACAGAUGGGCAUCUAUUUGUAAUUAAAGAUUUAUCGGUAUAGGAUGGGCAUGCGUCCCAUUAGUUAGUUGGUAAGGUAACGGCUUACCAAGACGAUGAUGGGUAGGGGAUCUGAGAGGACUUACCCCCACACUGGUACUGAGACACGGACCAGACUCCUACGGGAGGCAGCAGUAAGGAAUAUUGGGCAAUGGCCGCGAGGCUGACCCAGCCAUGCCGCGUGCAGGAAGACGGCCUUAUGGGUUGUAAACUGCUUUUAUACGGGAAUAAUAGAGUGUACGCGUACAUUUAUGCAAGUAUCGUAUGAAUAAGCAUCGGCUAACUCCGUG
rnacentral:rRNA from 1 species